AAAUUAACAUCACAUCUGUCAUUUUACAAAACUGAGUAGAACUAAACGGUUACAAAUCUGACUUACUGUUGGCACAGGACCUUAACAGGUUUUAUGUCAGAUUUGACUCACAUGAUUUUAGUAGUAAACACUCUGAACUUAAGACCAGAGGUUUGGCAUCUCCUUCAUUUAUCCCUUCCUUCAAUGAGCAUA